rfam:Oryza rufipogon genomic scaffold, chr11
AAAAAGGCAAACCAUAGGUUUGCGUGUCCAACUUUGACUAUCCGUCUUAUAUGAAAUUUUUUUAUAAUUCGUAUUUUCAUUGUUGUUAGAUGAUAAAAUAUGAUUAAUAUUUUAUGCGUGACUUGUCUUUUUAAUUUUUUUCAUAAUUUUUUCAAAUAAGACGAACGGUCAAACGUUGGGCAUGGAAACCAGGGUUUGUCUUUUU